UACGGGGGGGGCAAGCGUUGUUCGGAAUUACUGGGCGUAAAGGGCUCGUAGGUGGCCAACUAAGUCGGACGUGAAAUCCCUCAGCUUAACUGGGGAACUGCGUCCGAUACUGGAUGGCUCGAGUUUGGGAGAGGGAUGCGGAAUUCCUGGUGUAGCGGUGAAAUGCGCAGAUAUCAGGAGGAACACCGGUGGCGAAGGCGGGUCUCUGGGCCGAUACUGACGCUGAGGAGCGAAAGCGUGGGGAGCGAACAGG
rnacentral:rRNA from 1 species